UUGUUGCUAUGUCAUUUCGAGGGUGUUCUAGGUGUUUUUAUCUGAUUCCCCCUUAGUUCUCUGUAAUCUUCUGGUCAGGGAUCCACCGAAAUUUCAGCAUUCAAAAAUUGUUUUCAGCACUGAAAAGUCAUUUCACUCAGCGACCAUCUUUGAAAUGCACCUGCUAUUUCAGUCAUGCAAGUACAUCUCUUUGAAUGGGGAAACAUCAAAUCUGUUCACCAGGUUACAUUACAUUUCAUAUUUGAAAUCAGCAAUGAAAUCUGAAAACAACUGUCUCAUAAAUGUGGUUUCUUAUGUUAAAAUAGCAUUUAAAAAAGCUUAUUUUUCAGGCUGGACCAGCCAAUGCACAUUUGCAGUCAUAGGUGCGCAUCUCAGAGCAUUGACUGUUUCUAAAGCAACCGGGGGCGGUUGCAUAAACUGCUAAGGCUAGUCUUACAAGUUAGUCAUAAUUUUUUUUUCUUUAAAGGGUUAGUUCACCCAAAAAUGAAAAUUAUGUCAUUAAUUACUCACCCUCAUGUCGUUCCACACCUGUAAGACCUUCGUUCAUCUUCAGAACACAAGAUAUUUUUGAUAAAAUCCGAUGGCUCAGUGAGGCCUGCAUCGCCAGCAAUAACACUCCCUUUUUCAAUGCCCAGAAAGCUACUAAAAACAUAUUUAAAACAGUUCAUGUGACUACAGUGGUUCAACUUUAAUAUUAUAAAGUGACGAGAAUACUUUUUGUGCACCAAAAAUAACAAAUUUUUCCACAAUAUCUAGCGAUUUCAAAACACUGCUUCAUGAAGCUUCGAAGCUUUAAGAAUCAUUUGUUUCGAAUCAGUGGUUCAGAGCACCAAAAUCACAUGAUUUCAGUAAACGAGGCUUCGUUAUGUCAUAAGUGUUUUGAAACUUUUAUAGUUCACGUGACUUUGGCAGUUUGAGUCACGCUUCGAACCACUGUUGUCACAUGAACUGUUUUAAAUAUGUUUUUAGUAGCUUUCUGGGCAUUGAAAGAAGGGAGUGUUAUCGCUGGCUUUACUGAGCCAAUUGGAUUUUAUCAAAAAUAUCUUAAUUUGUGUUGAACGAAAAAACGAACGAAAGUUUUACGGGUGUGGAACAACAUGAGGCUGUUCAGUGAGCUGAAUGCUCUUCUGAUGUUGUAUCACGGUGGCAUCCAUGAUUUACGAGCAUCCAAAUGAAGUAUGACAUAUGGCAAGGGAUUUUGAGUCAAACAAACUCAAUCCUGAUCACAUCUUGUCCUGUCAGAUCAAAGCCUGUCUGUCAGCUUGCAGUCUUACGUGGCAGAGACGGCUGUGAAAAUGGAAAGGUGACUGGGGAAACAGGGAGACGAGAGCAGCAUCAGUGAAGAAUGGAAAAAAUCACACGAAAUUAUGGAGUUCCCAUUGACAUGCAUUAUACGACUGACAGACCGCAACGGUUGGAGUUAAAAAUCAUCAUUUGUGUUUACUGAAGAAACAAAGUCACCUACAUCUUGGAUGCCCUGGGGAGUGAUUAGUGAUCUGAUUGGCAGCGGUCCAGUGUAAAUCCAGAAACAGAGCAGCACAAUCUCAUGAGAGAGUGUUCAGUUACAGUCCAAGAGGUCCAGCCUCCUUCCCAGCAGAGCUCUGAAUAAUAAUCAUAAUCAUAAUCAUAUUUUUUUGUAUGUAGCUCAGAGGAACAUUUCUUUUUGUCAGCGUAUUGCCGACAGUGGCACAUCUUAUCAUGCGACAUCAUUAAAACAGAGAGGGUUCAUAUGAGGGAUAGUGAAAUGAAGUAUGUGUUUCUGUGGGAGACACUGAAGCCCCAGGUCUGCCACUGACUGCAGAGAAGGAUAAUACUUGUGAACUUAAAGUAUUGAAGCAAAAGAACUGAUAAUGGAAGGGCAGAGAGAGAAACAACCCAAAAGAACAGUGGGAGGCUGGCAAGAACCCUCCCACUGCAAGCACUGGCCACAGCUAGGACUUUACCAGCCUCAGGUGUGAGAAACUUCCUCUGGAUACAACAGUGACUGCGAAUAUUAACAUGAGUCAUGCUCAAGUUGUGUGUGUGGCUGCAUCUGAAAGCUUAAAAAUGCUGUCUUCCAAGGUAGGAAGGCAUCAAGGCACACCCGAAUCCAAUGUUAGCUGAAUACCUUAA